UACGUAGGUCGCGAGCGUUGUCCGGAUUUAUUGGGCGUAAAGAGCGUGUAGGCGGCUAGGUAGGUCCGUUGUGAAAACUCGAGGCUCAACCUCGAGCUGUCGAUGGAAACCAUCUGGCUAGAGUCCGGAAGAGGAGAGUGGAAUUCCUGGUGUAGCGGUGAAAUGCGUAGAUAUCGUAAGGAAGACCAGUGGCGAAGGCGGGUCUCUGGACAGUUCCUGACGCUGAGGCACGAAGGCCAGGGGAGCAAACGGG
rnacentral:rRNA from 1 species